GCAUUUUGUUGGGAGUCAUAGAGCAAAAACACACCAAAAUCCUUCUGGUAGUGUGCUGCAGUUUCUUGCCACUUCUUUGCAUUCAAGCUGAUUGGCAGAACGGUGUCAGCUGAGACAGACACACGUGCUGAGGCAAGACACAGGGAGGACAUGUGAUGUUUGGAGAGUAUAAUGAGGACUCAAUGGACAGUGCAGGAGGCUGAGCCUGGCUUGCUUAUAGAGCUAGCUUUGCAACAACGCUUGUGGGUCUCUGAUCUUCUCUUCCCUGAGAAAGGCACAGCUGAGAACUUUUCUUGGUGUUCCUCCUGGCCCCUCCUGCUGACUCGUGCCAAGGCUGAGGCCUGGCUGUCUCUGCUAGGUAAUGCCAGCACUGCUGAUUCCUGUUUCUUAUCCCGACUCUAGGGAAGUGGGCUGCUUCUGUGUCCCUGAAGUGUUGGCAAGUGAAUUGAGCUGCUAACCUGUGGAUUGAACUGUUGCUUUCUAGACAACACAGAAAGGAGUUGCUCCAAAGAACCUUUUUGAACAGAUCCACUUCCCAGUAGCCUUUCUUUUCUACUACCUCAGC
rnacentral:lncRNA from 1 species